AUGACAUUAAAUUCUUCCAGACAUUCCAUUCCAAAUUUCUCAUUCUUAUCCGUUUAGAGAUUUUUCGUCUUGUUGAUUUACGUUACGUUUGAUUUUUGUUUUUGAUUACAAUAUUGGUUAUUGAUUCGAGUCGAGAUUCGAGUCUCCAGAAGACAUUGACGCGGCUGUACGCUCGCUUAAUAGCCUCAUCCAGGAAGCAGCUCUCUCCGCAGAACCACCCACGUCCGAGGAGCGCUCGACCCGACCUGCUGCAUCACCUGACCCUCACAUCGAAAACCUUGUGCGUAUCAAGAGAAGACUAAGGAAAGCUUUCAUAAGAACUCACGACCCAGACACUAAAGCUCAGAUGCACAGAGCGGGCAGAAACUUAAAAAGGCCCUCGCUGAGAAAAGCAGCAAACACUUCGACGAAAUGCUAAAAAGAGCCGAUACAACCGAAAGUAGCCAGGUCAAUCUCUGGAAACUCACCCGUGGCAUCAAGAGGCAGCCACUGUGCAGCUUUCUAUUAAGAAACGACAACGGUACCUGGGUGAAGUCUGACUUGGAAAAAGCAGAAGCGUUCGCUAGAAAUUUAGAGACCAGAUUCACUCCAGCCGAUGUAUCACCUCAAGAUCACACGCGAGCACUCUCCUGGUACUUAGAAGCGCCCCUCCAGAUGUCGAUACUGUAGUGUCCAACUAUUCGAAAAUCAAAAGAAAAAAAAAAAAAAGAAAGGAAAAGGUCGAACAAGGUACACUUUAGGUACACUUUCUAGAAAGAUACUUUUCAUACCGCCCUCGCUAGCAUAGCUCGAAGAAAUUGGUGGAAUGCAGGAGAUCCAGAAGAUCAUCCGAUUGCACAGUUAUGUUAAAGCUUAAAGCUCAGCUUAGGCAUGCAAUAGGUACAGGCGAAUAGACUUUAUUCAUGUGAAAUCAUUCCCCUGCAUAGUUUCACUUACGGCACACGUAUAUAUAGAUUUUCGUGAUUUUCGCAAUCGCAGAGUGAAUGGUGAAGACACGUGGAGUUACAUAACUUCCAAUUUUUCACUAUUAUCUAAUCAUCCGCUGUUUAUAUGGAUUAAUAAAUCCGAAGAGUGGCGUUAGCUGAACUACCCGAGGGAAAAGUGAAAAUAAAGUGAAAUUCUUGAAAGAAGCAAAGGGAUAGGAGUACUGGAAAAUCUUAAUACAGCCAAGCCGGCCAACCAAUCUACGGUAACAACUACUAAAACAACCAAGCUGACCGUUUGGGAGUUAGCGCAGUGCACAUCCACGGCGGCAAAGUGAAGGCUGAACCGUUGACGUUGGGCUAGCUCAAUAUCGGAAAUCAUUUACGGCUCGUGAAAGACCAACCACCAUACACCACUGCUGGACGUCCGAAUAUCAGUUUGAACCUGCCGAUCUCGUAAAAAAAAAAAGCCGGAGGACAUAAUCGUCACCAACCUACGAAAACUUACAAAGGAUUGAGUAAUUAGGCUAGCCUAAACCACAUUGCCUCAGAACCACUCUUGCUGUCAGCAGAUUUGUGUUUAUUUUGAUUCCCGUGUUUCUCAAAUUAAAUUUCAAGUGCAAGUUCCCGUUUGCCUUUAUCACUAUCACAUAAAAAUCUAUACGCUGCUGCUCUAAGAACCAGCUGAUUAGAUCCACAUAUUCAUAUCUCGUUUAUCAUUGUGUUGAUUAAUGUAGUAACUAAAUAGCUUCCUCCAAUGAGUAAAUUUGUAACGUAACUGACGAUUUU